GAUGAACGCUGGCGGCGUGCCUAAUACAUGCAAGUCGAGCGAACCACUUCGGUGGUGAGCGGCGAACGGGUGAGUAACACGUAGGUGAUCUGCCCAUCAGACGGGGACAACGAUUGGAAACGAUCGCUAAUACCGGAUAGGACGAAAGUUUAAAGGUGCUUCUGGCACCGCUGAUGGAUGAGCCUGCGGCGCAUUAGCUAGUUGGUAGGGUAAAGGCCUACCAAGGCGACGAUGCGUAGCCGACCUGAGAGGGUGAACGGCCACACUGGGACUGAGACACGGCCCAGACUCCUACGGGAGGCAGCAGUAGGGAAUCUUCGGCAAUGGGCGAAAGCCUGACCGAGCAACGCCGCGUGAAUGAUGAAGGCCUUCGGGUUGUAAAAUUCUGUUAUAAGGGAAGAACGACUUUAGUAGGAAAUGGCUAGAGUGUGACGGUACCUUAUGAGAAAGCCACGGCUAACUACGUG
rnacentral:rRNA from 2 species